rnacentral:lncRNA from 1 species
GGAACUUUCUCUCCCAGUCACCGCUUCGUCCUCCGAGUUCGGCACUGAAAAUAGACCCAACCCACCUAGGCGCCCGCCUAGCCACCGCCUAGCGACCGCCUGCCUAGCCACCGCCUAGCGACCGCCUAGCCGCCUAGCGCCCGCCUAGUCGCCUAGCGCCCGCCUAGCCAUCGCCUAGCCGCCUAGCGACCGCCUAGCCGCCUACCGCCCGCCUAGCCGCCCGCCUAGGCCGACUUUUCAGUUCUCGCUCUCCAGCAUCCAAACGCAUUCUCUCUCUCCCCUUGUCGUCAAGGUCUGUUGCCUCUGUUCAUUCAUUGUAAAUUUUAGUAUUCAAUAGUUCAUAGCUUUUUCAAUUUUUCAAUUUUGAAUUUUGAUUGAAACGCUAGACAAUGUAGGGGUUUUAAUUUGUUUAAACAUGCUCUUGAAAAUUGUUGUACGAGGGCACCUGUCAAUUGUCGUAAAUCAGUAGAAAAUGUGCUCUUGAAUUUUGUUAAGAUUAUAUUGAGAGCCUAAUGUUGGAUUUUGAGAUUGCAGUUUAGGAGAGCAUUACGUGAUUUUUCAUGUAGGGAAGGGAAGUAGCAUAAUGACUUUAGGUUUUCGUGUUAUGGCACAACACCUGAAGUUCUUGAAAGGCUUUAUAAGCUCAUACAGAGUCUAGCUAAUCUAGUGCAACAGUAUUUUAGGCUGGAUGGGACACCAG